AUGCAACUUUACCUCCUCGGCUUUAUUGUCCAAGUAGAGCAUCUCAAGCUAAUCAUCAGGAACAAAUGUUAUUUUUACUGCAUAGUUUCGUGUGCCAAAUGUGAGAUUACUAUCAUUGAGCUUGAAUCUAAAUAUAAGUCUUUUCCACAUAAUUGUCGAAUAAUCUUUGGCGCUUCUUCUGAUUUCCCAUCUAGUGUGUCCAUCAACUUAGAUGCAGACGUAUUAAGCAAUCUUGCAGCCUCCUCGUCAAAUAAAGUGCAGCUUGUAGUAGAUGUAUGGUCACUAAUUUGGAGACGAACACGAUACCUAACAUACAAUUCAUGUUAG
rnacentral:rRNA from 1 species